AUGCCAGUGAUAAGAAUACACAACAACCAACGACUCACAGGCUUGUUAUGGUUUCCAUUGUGGAAUAUACAAAAUCAAUCCCAUACGAGCUUGGGACAGAUACAGGCAAAAGAGGAGCAGCUUCUAUGUUGGACAAAUCUACAUUAUUUUACAGGGAGCAAAUGCUUCUGCAUACUGAUAUCGGCAUUUCACUACAGCUAAAGAAUCACAAGCUCAGAUACAAUGAACUGUAAAAUUUCAUUUCC
rnacentral:lncRNA from 1 species